rnacentral:rRNA from 1 species
AGAGUUUGAUCCUGGCUCAGAUUGAACGCUGGCGGCAUGCCUUACACAUGCAAGUCGAACGGCAGCACGGGAGCAAUCCUGGUGGCGAGUGGCGAACGGGUGAGUAAUAUAUCGGAACGUGCCCAGUCGUGGGGGAUAACGCAGCGAAAGCUGUGCUAAUACCGCAUACGAUCUCUGGAUGAAAGCGGGGGACUCAGCAAUGAGCCUCGCGCGAUUGGAGCGGCCGAUAUCAGAUUAGCUAGUUGGUGGGGUAAAAGCUCACCAAGGCGACGAUCUGUAGCUGGUCUGAGAGGACGACCAGCCACACUGGAACUGAGACACGGUCCAGACUCCUACGGGAGGCAGCAGUGGGGAAUUUUGGACAAUGGGCGAAAGCCUGAUCCAGCAAUGCCGCGUGCAGGAUGAAGGCCUUCGGGUUGUAAACUGCUUUUGUACGGAGCGAAAAGGUUCUCUUUAAUAAAGAGAGCUCAUGACGGUACCGUAAGAAUAAGCACCGGCUAACUACGUGCCAGCAGCCGCGGUAAUACGUAGGGUGCGAGCGUUAAUCGGAAUUACUGGGCGUAAAGCGUGCGCAGGCGGUUUUGUAAGUCAGAUGUGAAAUCCCCGGGCUCAACCUGGGAACUGCAUUUGAGACUGCAAGGCUAGAGUGUGGCAGAGGGGGGUAGAAUUCCACGUGUAGCAGUGAAAUGCGUAGAGAUGUGGAGGAAUACCGAUGGCGAAGGCAGCCCCCUGGGCCAAUACUGACGCUCAUGCACGAAAGCGUGGGGAGCAAACAGGAUUAGAUACCCUGGUAGUCCACGCCCUAAACGAUGUCAACUAGGUGUUGGAAGGGUUAAACCUUUUAGUGCCGCAGCUAACGCGUGAAGUUGACCGCCUGGGAGUACGGCCGCAAGGCUAAACUCAAGGAUUGACG